UACGUAGGGUGCGAGCGUUGUCCGGAUUUAUUGGGCGUAAAGAGCUCGUAGGCGGUUUGUCGCGUCGGCCGUGAAAUCUCCACGCUUAACGUGGAGCGUGCGGUCGAUACGGGCAGACUUGAGUUCGGUAGGGGAGACUGGAAUUCCUGGAGUAGCGGUGAAAUGCGCAGAUAUCAGGAGGAACACCGGUGGCGAAGGCGGGUCUCUGGGCCGAUACUGACGCUGAGGAGCGAAAGCGUGGGGAGCGAACAGG
rnacentral:rRNA from 1 species